rnacentral:rRNA from 1 species
AUUGAACGCUAGCGGCAUGCUUUACACAUGCAAGUCGAACGAGUGGCGGACGGGUGAGUAAUAUAUCGGAACGUGCCCAGUAGCGGGGGAUAACUACUAGAAAGAGUGGCUAAUACCGCAUACUAUUGGAGCGGCCGAUAUUGGAUUAGCUAGUUGGUGGGGUAAAGGCACACCAAGGCGACGAUCCGUAGCGGGUUUGAGAGGACGACCAGCCACACUGGGACUGAGACACGGCCCAGACUCCUACGGGAGGCAGCAGUGGGGAAUAUUGGACAAUGGGGGAAACCCUGAUGCAGCCAUGCCGCGUGUAUGAGAAGGCCUUCGGGUUGUAAAGUACUUUCAGCCGGGAGGCGGUAUCGGCAGAAUAAGCACCGGCUAACUACGUGCCAGCAGCCGCGGUAAUUC